rnacentral:rRNA from 1 species
GACAGAGGAGCCAAGCGUUGUCCGGAUUUAUUGGGCGUAAAGAGCGUGUAGGCGGCCAGGUAGGUCUGCUGUGAAAACUCGAGGCUCAACCUCGAGACGUCGGCGGAAACCAUCUGGCUAGAGUCCGGAAGAGGAGAGUGGAAUUCCUGGUGUAGCGGUGAAAUGCGCAGAUAUCAGGAAGAACACCCGUGGCGAAGGCGGCUCUCUGGGACGGUACUGACGCUGAGACGCGAAAGCGUGGGGAGCGAACAGG